rnacentral:rRNA from 1 species
CGGAGGGCGCAAGCGUUGUUCGGAAUUACUGGGCGUAAAGCGCGGGCAGGUGGUCAUUUAAGUCCUUUGUGAAAUCCCGGGGCUCAACUCCGGAUGUGCAGAGGAUACUGGACGACUAGAGACCGGUAGAGGCGAGUGGAAUUCCUGGUGUAGCGGUGGAAUGCGUAGAUAUCAGGAAGAACACCUGUGGCGAAGGCGGCUCGCUGGGCCGGUUCUGACACUCAUCCGCGAAAGCGUGGGGAGCAAACAGGAUUAGAUACCCUGGUAGUCCACGCCGUAAACGAUGGGCACUAGGUGCCGGGCGUAUAGACGCGUUCGGUGCCGCAGCUAACGCAUUAAGUGCCCCGCCUGGGGAGUACGGCCGCAAGGCUG